CCCUGGUGGUUCAAAAGGUAAAAAAAAUCUACCUUUAAUGCAGGAGAUCCAGGUUCAAUCCCUGGGUCAGGAA
rnacentral:tRNA from 1 species